UCCCCGGUGGCUCAGAGGUUAAAGCGUCUGCCUGAAAUGCGGGAGACCUUGGUUCGAUCCCUGGGUCGGGAA
rnacentral:tRNA from 1 species